rnacentral:lncRNA from 1 species
UCCCAGCCGUCGGCUUCGUCCCAGCCACUCCCAUAAAGCUGGCCCCAUGGAACUCUUGCCAAGCCUGGCUACUCGAGGCUUUCUCACUAGCCAUUCACUUUUCGCAGGCUCCUUUCAACAACACAGCUCCUGCAAAAGCUUUGGUCCCUUGGGGCAAACGGACUGGAGGGCCCAACUGCCACAGGGGGGAUGGACAGACCACUCUGGUUCUCACUCUCUGGUACCAGGACUGUACGCUUUUAUGAUUGUAAAUAGCCUGUGUAAGAUUUUUCAGUGUAAACACAAGAAUCAACACUGCCAAAGUGGCCUCCAUGUGAUUCACAGGAAGGAUGCAUAUAAGCUUGGGACCUUUCUGCCUUGCUGAUGCAACAUCU